CACAACAUCGCAAAAAUAAAAUGACUUGACAACCUCAAUCCGAGGACGCCUGUCUUGUCCCUCCAGUCCCGUCAUCAGUAAGUAGACUGACCUGGGGACUGUGGGAAGAGUGGUUCUAACCUUGAGUCGUUUCGGUGGCCCUUCUUUCUCAUCCUCUGUCAUUUCCCUCUCUCACUCUCAAUAUCUUUCUCUCAUUCUCUCUACACAUA
ensembl:ncRNA F08F1.20 ncRNA